rnacentral:rRNA from 1 species
ACGCUGGCGGCGUGCCUAACACAUGCAAGUCGAGCGGGGACAUUUAGGGAGCUUGCUUUCUGGAUGUUCUAGCGGCGGACGGGUGAGUAACGCGUGAGCAACCUGCCUUUAACAGGGGGAUAACGCAUCGAAAGAUGUGCUAAUACCGCAUAAGACCACGUCUUCACAUGGAGGAGAGGUCAAAGGAGCAAUCCGGUUAAAGAUGGGCUCGCGUCCGAUUAGCUAGUUGGUGAGAUAACAGCCCACCAAGGCAACGAUCGGUAGCCGACCUGGGAGGGUGAUCGGCCACAUUGGAACUGAGAUACGGUCCAGACUCCUACGGGAGGCAGCAGUGGGGAAUAUUGGGCAAUGGGCGAAAGCCUGACCCAGCAACGCCGCGUGAGGGAAGAAGGGUUUCGGCUCGUAAACCUCUGUCCUGUGGGACGAAGGAAGUGACGGUACCACAGGAGGAAGCCCCGGCUAACUACGUGCCAGCAGCCGCGGUAAUACGUAGGGGGCGAGCGUUGUCCGGAAUGAUUGGGCGUAAAGGGCGCGUAGGCGGNCUGAUAAGUCUGGAGUGAAAGUCCUGCUUUCAAGGUGGGAAUUGCUUUGGAUACUGUCGGGCUGGAGU